CCCGCCGAAUUUAAGCAUAUUACUAAGCGGAGGAAAAGAAACUAACUAGGAUUCCCUCAGUAGCGGCGAGCGAACAGGGAAUAGCCCAGCGCCGAAUCCCGCGGCCGGUCGACGGACGCCGGGAAAUGUGGUGUUAGGGAGGAUCCGCCAUCCUGAGAUCGUUCGGCGCGCCCAAGUCCUUCUUGAACGGGGCCACUUACCCAUAGAGGGUGCCAGGCCCGUAGUUGGCCGCCGUCGAUCGCGGGAGGAUCACUCCUCAGAGUCGGGUUGCUUGAGAGUGCAGCCCUAAGCGGGUGGUAAACUCCAUCUAAGGCUAAAUAUGACCACGAGACCGAUAGCGAACAAGUACCGUGAGGGAAAGUUGAAAAGAACUUUGAAGAGAGAGUUCAAGAGUACGUGAAACCGUUCAGGGGUAAACCUGAGAAACCCGAAAGGUCGAACGGGGAGAUUCAGCGCGGCCCGGAUAACCGCGGCGAGUCGGCAACGUGCGACCGUUGGCGUUCGCGCCGACGGCUCCGUGUCCGUUCCGUCCGCGGCCGAACGUGUGCACUUCUCCCCCUGUAGGACGUCGCGACCCGUUGGGUGCCGGUCUAAGGCGUGCGGUCUAGUCCGUUCGAGUUUUCGCUCGUUCGAAACCGCGAACGCCCGACCGGCGACCUACCGACGGUACGAUCAUGGCGAGGGGCCGCGAUCAGUUCGCGUCCGGCCAAUCUCAAGUACGGACGGUAAAUCCGAAGCGCGGACCUAGCGCCGCAUCCGGACCCGUCCGACUGCUGGCGAUUGCGUUCUCGGACAGACCCCUGUUACACGCCGGUCGGCGGCGCUAUAGCUUUGGGUACUUUCAGGACCCGUCUUGAAACACGGACCAAGGAGUCUAGCAUGUGCGCGAGUCAUUGGGACUCGAACGAAACCUAAAGGCGUAAUGAAAGUGAAGGUUCGCCUCGCGCGAACCGAGGGAGGAUGGUCGAUCGUUCGAGGUCGUCCCGCACUCCCUGGGCGUCUCGUUCUCAUCGCGAGAAGAGGCGCACCAAGAGCGUACACGCUGGGACCCGAAAGAUGGUGAACUAUGCCUGGUCAGGACGAAGUCAGGGGAAACCCUGAUGGAGGUCCGUAGCGAUUCUGACGUGCAAAUCGAUCGUCGGAACUGGGUAUAGGGGCGAAAGACUAAUCGAACCAUCUAGUAGCUGGUUCCCUCCGAAGUUUCCCUCAGGAUAGCUGGCGCUCGCUUCUCGCGAGUCUCAUUCGGUAAAGCGAAUGAUUAGAGGCAUUGGGGUCGAAACGGCCUCAACCUAUUCUCAAACUUUAAAUGGGUGAGAUCUCCGGCUUGCUUGAACUGUGAAGCCGCGAGAUAUCGGAUCAGAGUGCCAAGUGGGCCACUUUUGGUAAGCAGAACUGGCGCUGUGGGAUGAACCAAACGCCGAGUUAAAGCGCCUAAAUCGACGCUUAUGGGAUACCAUGAAAGGCGUUGGUAACUUAAGACAGCAGGACGGUGGCCAUGGAAGUCGGAAUCCGCCAAGGAGUGUGUAACAACUCACCUGCCGAAGUUACUAGCCCUGAAAAUGGAUGGCGCUGAAGCGUCGUGCUUAUACUCUGCCGUCAGAGGCAUGUGAGACGGUCCUUCGCGGUCGUCAUGAAGCCCUGACGAGUAGGAGGGUCGCGGCGGUGAGCGCAGAAGGACCAGGCGCGAGCCAGUCUGGAGCCGCCGUCGGUGCAGAUCUUGGUGGUAGUAGCAAAUACUCCAGCGAGGCCCUGGAGGACUGACGUGGAGAAGGGUUUCGUGUGAACAGCCGUUGCACACGAGUCAGUCGAUCCUAAGCCAUAGGCGAAAGCCGAUGUCGAUGCGGUGUAUCUUUCGGAGCCUGUCUAUUUAUAUAAAUAUAUAUUAUUAUUAUAUGUACAGAGAGAGAGACGCACACCCGUCGGGCGAAAGGGAAUCCGGUUCCUAUUCCGGAACCCGGCAGCGGAACCGUUAUUAAGUCGUGCCCUCAUUCAGAGAGUUCGUCGGGGCAACCCAAAAAGACCUGGAGACGCCGUCGGGAGAUCCGGGAAGAGUUUUCUUUUCUGCAUAAGCGCUCGAGUUCCAUGGAAUCCUCUAGCAGGGAGAUAUGGUUUGGAGCGCGAAGAGCACCGCAGUUGCGGCGGUGUCCGGAUCUUCCCCUCGGACCUUGAAAAUCCAGGAGAGGGCCACGUGGAGGCGUCGCGCCGGUUCGUACCCAUAUCCGCAGCAGGUCUCCAAGGUGAAGAGCCUCUAGUC
rfam:Oryctes borbonicus contig17381, whole genome shotgun sequence.